GACGAACGCUGGCGGCGUGCCUAAUACAUGCAAGUAGCACGCUGAAGAGAGGAGCUUGCUCUUCUUGGAUGAGUUGCGAACGGGUGAGUAACGCGUAGGUAACCUGCCUGGUAGCGGGGGAUAACUAUUGGAAACGAUAGCUAAUACCGCAUAAAAUGGAUUAUCGCAUGAUAAUCCAUUGAAAGGUGCAAAUGCAUCACUACCAGAUGGACCUGCGUUGUAUUAGCUAGUUGGUGGGGUAACGGCUCACCAAGGCGACGAUACAUAGCCGACCUGAGAGGGUGAUCGGCCACACUGGGACUGAGACACGGCCCAGACUCCUACGGGAGGCAGCAGUAGGGAAUCUUCGGCAAUGGACGGAAGUCUGACCGAGCAACGCCGCGUGAGUGAAGAAGGUUUUCGGAUCGUAAAGCUCUGUUGUAAGAGAAGAACGAGUGUGAGAGUGGAAAGUUCACACGUGUAAAGCGUUAUCUUACGCUAAA
rnacentral:rRNA from 1 species